UACGGAGGGGGCUAGCGUUGUUCGGAAUUACUGGGCGUAAAGGGCGCGUAGGCGGCCUGCUAAGUCGAACGUGAAAUCCCCGGGCUCAACCCGGGAACUGCGUCCGAUACUGGCAGGCUUGAAUCCGGGAGAGGGAUGUGGAAUUCCAGGUGUAGCGGUGAAAUGCGUAGAUAUCUGGAGGAACACCGGUGGCGAAGGCGGCAUCCUGGACCGGUAUUGACGCUGAUGCGCGAAAGCCAGGGGAGCAAACGGG
rnacentral:rRNA from 1 species